AUGAAGAAAGAAGAAAAGAGUAGUUGCCUGACCACACGAGCUAUUAUCCACUCUCCACCGGUAUCUCCAAGUAAAAAGAGGAAGAGCACCGAGCCACCGUUCUCCCCUCGCCGAAAGAAACUUAAGACUAUGCUUGUGGACGCAGACAAAAUAGAAUUGUUGAGUUCUGAGGUCAUACCAAACACUGAAUUUGAGAAUUCUAAUGACUCAGACUCAGAAGUUACAAAAACAGCAAAUGACAGGGUAAAAAGCAAGGGAAAGAGUCCGAAGAAGUGGUCCAUGAGGGUUAAAUUAGCUGUACAAAGCCCAUCAAAACCAACAGUUACAGAUAGCAAAAGUCCAGAAAGCAGUCCUGAAAGCAAGGUCAAAAGAAAAUUAUUCGGCAGUCAGCAGAAGUCUCACGUUAAGGAUUCAGAUGAGGGCAGCAGUGGCAGCACUGAUUCACAUGACGUUGAAGUUAUUGAGGAGAAGGCCUCUUGUCCCAAGGUCAAAGGCAGUGAAGUUGAGAAGGUAUCCAAUGCAUCCAAAGAUGAAUCAGCAAAAACCUCCGCCAGCACUGUCAAGGAAAGUGAAACACCAAAACCGCCAGUUAAGUUGGCUUCAAUUUUUUUGAAAAAGAGCACUCCGAAAGUGAAUACAUCUAAUUCCACUUCAGCAGAUUCGCCAAUAGUCAUAGAUGAUGAAUCGCUUCAAGCAAAGAAGGAAUUUCUAUCCAGUGGCGUUCCUGAUAUAAUUAAGCAGAAGACUGAACUGUUGAAGGCUCAGGAAAAAUCUGAAGAAGAGUAUUAUGUUCCAUUUCCGAAGAUAAGUCAUGUUGGGUACGACAAUACCUUGUCUCAAGAAAAUGCUUCGCUGGAACUAGGCAAAUCCUUUAAACUGAGACCAGACGUAGACUUAUUGGAAAUUGUGAAUGACAGUUUGAAGAAACCUUGGAAAAACUUGAUCGACCCUGCUGUCCAUGCCCCAAUGCUGAAUGAAAACAUUUCAUGGCCCAAAUGCAAUGAUAGUAAGAGACAGACUCGGUGUCUAAAGAAGCAGGUAAUGAUCUUUACUUUGUGGAACAUUCUUCUCAUCAGUCUCUUAUUCAAUCGUGUUUAA
rnacentral:lncRNA from 1 species